CCUAACACAUGCAAGUCGAGGGCAGCACAAGGAGCAAUCUGAGGUGGCGACCGGCGCGACGGUGAAAAAGUACACGUAUGCAACCUGCCUGUAAGCGGGAAUAACCCGUGAAAGACGGACUAAUACCGCAUAAUACUAAAUUACUGCAUGGUAAUUUAUUUAAACAUUUAUGGCUUACAGAUGGGCAUGCGCAUGAUUAGCUAGUUGGAGAGGUAACGGCUCCCCAAGGCAACGAUCAUUAGGGGUUCUGAGAGGAAGGUCCCCCACACUGGUACUGAGACACGGACCAGACUCCUACGGGAGGCAGCAGUGAGGAAUAUUGGUCAAUGGACGAGAGUCUGAACCAGCCAAGUCGCGUGCAGGAAGAAUGUCCUUAAUGGAUUGUAAACUGCUUUUGCAGGGGAAUAAAGUGCAUCACGUGUGAUGUUUUGUAUGUACUCUGCGAAUAAGGAUCGGCUAACUCCGUGCCAGCAGCGGC
rnacentral:rRNA from 1 species